AUUGAACGCUGGCGGCAGGCCUAACACAUGCAAGUCGAGCGGAUGAAGGGAGCUUGCUCCUGGAUUCAGCGGCGGACGGGUGAGUAAUGCCUAGGAAUCUGCCUGGUAGUGGGGGAUAACGUCCUGAAACGGGCGCUAAUACCGCAUACGUCCUGAGGGAGAAGGUGGGGGAUCUUCGGACCUCACGCUAUCAGAUGAGCCUAGGUCGGAUUAGCUAGUUGGUGGGGUAAAGGCCUACCAAGGCGACGAUCCGUAACUGGUCUGAGAGGAUGAUCAGUCACACUGGAACUGAGCCACGGUCCAGACUCCUACGGGAGGCAGCAGUGGGGAAUAUUGGACAAUGGGCGAAAGCCUGAUCCAGCCAUGCCGCGUGUGUGAAGAAGGUCUUCGGAUUGUAAAGCACUUUAAGUUGGGAGGAAGGGCAGUAAGUUAAUACCUUGCUGUUUUGACGUUACCAACAGAAUAAGCACCGGCUAACUUCGUG
rnacentral:rRNA from 1 species